UUCAAAUCGUUUUGUAAAAAAGUCAAGAUUUAUUGAAAUCAUAAAUUUCACUCAAUAUCCGAGAUUCACUCUGUAUAUAACUCCAGGUUUUGAGAUUCAAAGAAAUUUUCUGAUAUCGAUAUUUAAUAUUUUGUUCCACUUUUUUUUUAAUAAAUUGAAACUUUCGUUCAAUGAAAUCAUUCAAUAUUCCAUAUUAAUAAACAACCUUCAUAUCCAAGUAAUGAUUUAUUUAGAUAUUACUGCGCUAAUUGCGGUAUCGACCGAAAAGUGCGAUUUGAAUUUUCAUUUAAAAAUCGUUGAACUAAUCUGAAGUCAUAAAUUCGGCAUUUUUUAUUUGUUUAUCAUUCGGAAAAGGGUAAGUACCGUAUAGUAUUCAUCCAUUUUAUUGACACGUAUUAUAAAUAUCUCAGCAAAUCUUGAACAUGCAACAGUGUUCAUCAAAGUUAUAUCCAUCUGAAAUACUCAUAAUAUUUUGAUCGAUAUGAAGAUUACCAUCCUUGCUAUUUUCUUCGUGAUGUUUCUUUUUGAAGCAUUCUCCUCUCCUACCGAACCGAAAGAUGAAAUUCUUCAUAGACUUCGCAGAUCCUUCUGUGGCGACACUGCAUGUGCUUUAAGCUGCACUCGCUAUGACUUCAAGGGAGGAUAUUGUAACGACUAUGGAGUUUGUGUCUGUACAAGAUGAAGAUAGAUUUGCUAUAAAAACAUAAAAUGUAAUAAUGUAUUCAUGAUAUACCCGUUUACUCUUGUUAAAUU